AGUGAACGCUGGCGGUACGCUUAACACAUGCAAGUCGAACGGCAGCACCGUAAGAUCUUGCUCUUACGGGUUGCGAGUCGCGUGCGUACCAGGUAAAUAUCGUACUCUACUUUUUCGUGUGGCUUCACGUAGGUGAACCUACGCUCGUACCGCAUCUCCCCCUCGGUUGUAAGCAUUGGAUCUUCUCACCUUGUGCGAUUGAAUGAGCCGAUGUUGGUCUAGCUAGUUGGCGGGGUAAAGGCCCACCAAGGCGACGAUCCGUAGCUGGUCUGAGAGGAUGAUCAGCCACACUGGAACUGGGACACGGUCCAGACUCCUACGGGAGGCAGCAGUGGGGAAUAUUGGACAAUGGGCGCAAGCCUGAUCCAGCCAUACCGCGUGGGUGAAGAAGGCCUUCGGGUUGUAAAGCCCUUUUGUUGGGAAAGAAAAGCAGCAGGUUAAUACCCCGCUGUUCUGACGGUACCCAAAGAAUAAGCACCGGCUAACUUCGUG
rnacentral:rRNA from 1 species